rnacentral:rRNA from 1 species
UACGUAGGGUGCAAGCGUUAAUCGGAAUUACUGGGCGUAAAGCGUGCGCAGGCGGUGAUGUAAGACAGUUGUGAAAUCCCCGGGCUCAACCUGGGAACUGCAUCUGUGACUGCAUCGCUGGAGUACGGUAGAGGGGGAUGGAAUUCCGCGUGUAGCAGUGAAAUGCGUAGAUAUGCGGAGGAACACCGAUGGCGAAGGCGAGUCCCUGGACAACUCCUGACACUGAGGCACGAAAGCUAGGGGAGCAAACAGG